UGGAUAACUGUAAUAACUCUAGAGCUAAUACAUGCCUCGAUGCCCUGACCCUCACGGGGAUGGGUGCACUUAUUAGAUCAGAAGCCAACCGUGUUCAGCCGUGGCGACAUGGCUGGGCGCGUUGACCUUCUGGUGACUCUGGAUAAUUGUUACAGAUCGCAGUCGGCCUUGAGUCGGCGACGGGUCCUUCAAAUGUCUGCCCUAUCAACUUUCGAUGGUAGGUGACCUGCCUACCAUGGUGAUAACGGGUAACGGGGAAUCAGGGUUCGAUUCCGGAGAGGGAGCCUGAGAAACGGCUACCACUUCCAAGGGAGGCAGCAGGCGCGCAAAUUACCCACUCCCAGUACGGGGAGGUGGUGACGAAAAAUACCGAUGCGGGACUCCUUAAAGAGGCUCCGUAAUCGGAAUGAGUGGACUAUAAAUCCUUUCACGAGGAUCAAUUGGAGGGCAAGUCUGGUGCCAGCAGCCGCGGUAACUCCAGCUCCAAUAGCGUAUAUUAAAGUUGCUGCAGUUAAAAAGCUCGUAGUUGGAUCUCGGUAGCGCUGUUGCCUGUUGGUCUUUGGGUGGAUGGUUGCCGUAGCUAUCGUCGUUGUCGUUGGCGGUGCAUGGGCGUGGCCCGUGUUACUGCAGAUGCGGCGUUGGCUGCG
rnacentral:rRNA from 1 species